rnacentral:lncRNA from 1 species
CGUCAUGCCCGCUAACAAAUUGAAAACUGUACCUAUACGCCUUAGUCCAAAUUUUUAGUAUUCGUAUUGUUAUCUUAGAAAGUUUUACUAAUUCAAAAACUACAAUAGGGAACAAUUUGACAAUGAUUGAAUUUAGUUGUGUCGACUUUGUGAUUAUGACCCGUGUAUAUAGUAAAAUCAAAUACACCAUUUGGUGGUGCGCCUGUUAGAUGCGGAACGUACAGAUAAGG